GCCGGUGUAGCUCAGCUGGUAGAGCACCCGCUUCGUAAGCGGAUGGUCGGGGGUUCAAAUCCCUCCACCGGCA
rnacentral:tRNA from 1 species